UCAAUAUACAUAGUGAUCAAUUACAGAUAGGUGGGAAUAUAUUACAAAUGGUUUAACUCCAAAACUGCAAACUGGAACCAUCCCAACCGAGGACUUGGUUGGUACAUACUAAAAUUGGAGACGUCCAGCUGAGGAGUUGCUCCUACAUACAAGAGGUUUCCCCACUUCAGAUAAAAGUUAGAAAUUACACCUUCCCAAGCCAAAUAACGAAUUCAUAACUCAAAUUAAGUAUCUCUUUGCAGUCCAGUUCAGACCCGUACUUCACAAGCCAACGCAAUAUACCAAGGAGGUAACGCACUUCCUUCGUCUGGGCUGAAACAGACACCUUUUCCGACGUUGGACACACUUCUAAUGAGAUCUUUCGGAUAUAACGAAAAGUUACCUCCAAGUAACCAUAGUCCUACAGUAAUGAGUUCAUGUUGGCCGCUUCGUCGGCUGGGCAGUGAUCAAACUUAUUUUCUGGUACCAGGGUUAUUAGGCCCAUAGGAUAACAUUUUUUAACCAUGUUUCGGGGACAUCCAGUCUACUCCGUUAGGAGAUGGAAAGCUAAUGUUGACAAAAAGAUUGAGAACCAAAAGGUUCAUCUUCUAUCCUUGAUGCUUCAUUUUAUCAAAUUCCUCCCUUCCUACAAGGGAAACCAGCAAGCGAAUGCUAGAAGCAAGCCUCAAUUCAGACUCAUUGAACGGUAGUGUGCAAGCUCAAAAGGCACAAUCUAAAGCUCCCAUUAGCUACAAAAAAGGAUGCCCAUAUCACACACUGAAAGUGAGACAUCAAUCAAAAUAGUCAAGAAAUGGUAAAUGCAUCAUGUUAAUUCUUAAAAGAUAAGAAACUUGACAUGCAUUUUUCUGAUAAAGUUAGGGUGCCUCACAGGAGAGUCCCUGAGUUGGUCUUUUCUUCUUUGUUGCAUAUCAUCAAUGAGCCAAGAAGCAUCAUUGAGUCCCAGUGAAGUAGCAAAAUUCUCAUGUGGGACCUGCAGAAUCGGUAUGAUAGCUCUUUCAGCUUUUACUUCUCCAUGAGUGGCAGUUUUUUACCUUUGCAUAGGCAUCAUCAAGCAUCAGGCCCAUCAUUGCACCAUAACAAAUAUCACAAGCCCAUCAUGUGUCAAAAGUAAAUAAUAUCAUGAUAUUUAACAUGGAAUGCGUAAGAAAUUCAUAGAGUAUCUAAAGAGAAAAAAUGCCCUGAUCAACUCAUUGAAAGAAACCGAGUUUCAGUCACAGCUGGAAGUUUGAGUAUUCGCUGUAAAAAUCCAGUUACUUAACGCCUUGUUUUGAGAGAGAGAGAGAGAGAGAAAUGUACGCACCCAGCUUCAACAUUAUAAGAUGAGAAAGAUAACUUUUAUUAAUUAUGCAAAACAAUUUCACAUAUUAUAUCUUUCUUAAUAUAAAAAUAACUGAAACUAAUAGUUGUACAUCGAUCAAGCAUUAUUAAGAAAUUAUAAUAAAAGAAAACAGCAAGAUGGGCUCAAAUCAACUCUAGUAAUAGGAAAAAUGCGUUGGUGCAAAUAAGCUUAUGAGUUGUCUAAACUAUAGAAAGAUUGUGAAUUGUAAUUUUGCUGAGGAGAAGAGAAAGAGGCUCCAGUCAAAAUUGAUGGGAAAAAAGGGUUUAAAGAGAAUAACAUUGUUAUCUGUUCCCAUUUGGUGGGAACAUUGCCCUAACAUUUUGAUAAUUAUCAAAAACAUAAUCUUUGGACCUAUGGAAGUCAGAACAUUAUUGUAAACAAUCAUCCUGAGCCAAUCAGCAAAAGAUGUAGAACAAUAAUUUAAUUUGAAAUGUUGCAAAAACAUAAUCUUUCCUAAUCUUGCCGAAAGAUUAAUAAGAAAUCGGACUAAAUAAUCCGACAAAUGUUCCCAAGAGGCCCUACCCUUAUUACAUUCUAGUUUAGGGACCUAAGUUAGAUCCAUCAUUUAGAAUUUUCCAUCAUUUAGAAUCAUCUAAGAGAGGGAGGCCAAUGAAGCACCAUCCAUCUUGUAAACAAUUGAUACUAGUUUAGGGACCUAAGUUCCUUUCACGAUUACUGUUUCCUAGACAGUAGAUACUUGGCAUGACAUGAGUACCAAUUAUUCAAGUUCCCCGAGUCUAAAUUUUGUGCACCUUUGUACAAUAUAAAAUUGCCGAGCUAUCAAUAUAUCAAUACAUCAAGAUACGCCUACUACCAGACUAAGAUGACUAGACAAUGAUACUUAUCAGAGAAUUUGCCGUCGGUGUUAUCUUCCAUUUUCGAUUAAACGGUGGUAUCUUACAUUCAUAACAAAAAACAAACAAAGAUAUGACACAUGACUACAAGAGUCCAACAUUUUUAAGCUAAUAUAUAACAGACACUCCAUCAAAUUGUUCUCAGUGCAGACACUUCUCCAUAUCAUUUUUUUGCCCGAUAGAGUCAUCUCAUAUAUAAUCAUCAUCUUAAAAAAUUAUGAUUUGUCUCAUAACUUGACCUUCUUGGGAGCAGCACCAGGUGUGUUUUUUGUUUUCCUAGCAACCAUGCUGAUUCAUGCUCAUGCAAGUAUUCUCAUAGUAUCCGAAGAGAUGUAGAUGGUUUCGAGAAAGGAAAGUAAGAAAAGAGUUGGGAGGCGAUGAUUACCAUCGGAUAUUCCCCUCCAUAUCCUCUCUCCAAGGAUUCGUCUUUUAGGGUUUCUUCGUUUCCAUCGCUUCCGCUCUUUCCAGACGGACACCAGAUUCCUUCCUUUUGACGCCCUUUG
rnacentral:lncRNA from 1 species